rnacentral:rRNA from 1 species
AUGAUCAGCCACACUGGGACUGAGACACGGCCCAGACUCCUACGGGAGGCAGCAGUUAGGAAUCUUGCGCAAUGCGCGAAAGCGUGACGCAGCAACGCCGCGUGGGGGAAGAAGGCUUUCGGGUUGUAAACCCCUUUCAGUUGGGACGAAGCUUCUCCGGUGAAUAGCCGGAUGGAGUGACGGUACCUUCACAAGAAGCACCGGCUAACUACGUGCCAGCAGCCGCGGUAAUACGUAGGGUGCAAGCGUUGUCCGGAAUUAUUGGGCGUAAAGAGCGUGUAGGCGGCCCCAUUAGUCCGCUGUGAAAGUCCAGGGCUCAACCCUGGAAUGCCGGUGGAUACUGUGGGGCUAGAGUCCGGAAGGGGCGAGUGGAAUUCCUGGUGUAGCGGUGAAAUGCGCAGAUAUCAGGAGGAGCACCAAUGGCGAAGGCAGCUCGCUGGGACGUGACUGACGCUGAGACGCGAAAGCGGGGGGAGCAAACAGGAUUAGAUACCCUGGUA